UGCGGCCUCAUUAUGUUGAAACACCGGUUCCCGUACGAUCACCGAAGUUAAGCAACGCUGACGUUGAUCAGUAUCUAGAUGGAUGCCCGCUUGAAAAUACAAAGUGCUGUAA